GGAAAGGGAGGGGGCAGAGAUCACCCUAGGAGUGUGCACAGGGGGCAGCUGCCGGUGGAGGGUGUUUGGCUGCUAGGAAAAAUGGCUGCCAGGGUCCUGUAAAGCAAAGCUUGCUUGGAGAAUGGGCGAAGAUGUAGGUGUAAGUGAUUUGCUCAAGAUUAUGCAACCUCCCUGGGCAUAGCCCCCACUUCCUUGGGAAUUUCCUAGCAUGUCCUGGAACGGGCCUCCAUCAUUCCCCAUUUCCUGCUGCAUGAGGAGACAUUGCCCCCUACAAAAACUAGAUAGUGUAAUAUCUGCCCCUGGUGUGUCCGGAAUUGGUCCCUUCUGGUGGGUUCUUGGUCUGCUGACUUCAAGAAUGAAGCCACGGACCCUCAUGGUGAGUGUUACAGUUCUUAAAGAUGGUGUGUCUGGAGUUUGUUCCUUCAGAUGUUCAGAUGUAUCCGGAGUUUCUUCCUUCCAGUGGGUUCGUGGUCUCGCUGAGUUCAGGAGUGAAGUCGCAGACCUUCGCAAUGAAAGAAAAGAUGUGAAGCCCUGGAAAACUUGGCUUUGAAGAUGCCAAACUCACUUUAGAGAAGAGAAAGGCAUUACUGUUGGAGAUGCUUGUGAAGAAUUUGAGUUAAAAAAAUUGUUUUCUAACCAAAUACCACAUGUUCUCACUUAUAAGUGGGAGCUAAACUUGGAGCAUCUGUGGACAUAAACAUGGGAAUAAUGGAUACUGCAGACUACUAGA